rnacentral:rRNA from 1 species
AAUAAGCGGAGGAAAAGAAACCAACAGGGAUUGCCUUAGUAGCGGCGAGUGAAGCGGCAAAAGCUCAAAUUUGAAAUCUGGCGCCUUCGGUGUCCGAGUUGUAAUUUGAAGAUUGUAACCUUGGGGUUGGCUCUUGUCUAUGUUUCUUGGAACAGGACGUCACAGAGGGUGAGAAUCCCGUGCGAUGAGAUGCCCAAUUCUAUGUAAGGUGCUUUCGAAGAGUCGAGUUGUUUGGGAAUGCAGCUCUAAGUGGGUGGUAAAUUCCAUCUAAAGCUAAAUAUUGGCGAGAGACCGAUAGCGAACAAGUACAGUGAUGGAAAGAUGAAAAGAACUUUGAAAAGAGAGUGAAAAAGUACGUGAAAUUGUUGAAAGGGAAGGGUUUGAGAUCAGACUCGAUAUUUUGUGAGCCUUGCCUUCGUGGCGGGGUGACCCGCAGCUUAUCGGGCCAGCAUCGGUUUGGGCGGUAGGAUAAUGGCGUAGGAAUGUGACUUUACUUCGGUGAAGUGUUAUAGCCUGCGUUGAUGCUGCCUGCCUAGACCGAGGACUGCGAUUUUAUCAAGGAUGCUGGCAUAAUGAUCCCAAACCGCCCGUCUUGAA